UGCCUGGUUUCACAACUCCUUCGGAGAUC
rnacentral:sRNA from 1 species